UUUUUUUUUUUUUUUUUUUUAUUGCCAUCUAUUUCUUUAGAGCAUAUCUUAACAAUUCUAUGCUUCCCAAACAUUCACUAGACCACAAUAUGAUUUUCAGCUUCCUUCUCCUAAAGACUCUAACCCAUUUUUUUCUUUCUUUUUCUUUUCACACUCAAUCUCAAUCCCCAAAUAAGUUCCCACCUAGUCCUACCAAGUCCGAAAACGCGGAUUGGAACUACAUGAGAUACUACUCUUGUCGGCUCAAACCUAACACGUUCUACCAAGCUCAAUCCUGAAAAUAGGCCUCACAUGCUCUCACAAAAUAACAUGGCUUGAAAGAAGGGUUGGUUAAGGGUGGGGGAACUACUCCAAUAAUAGAAGCAGCUACUUGGAUUAACAAGAGUGGUGAAUAAGUGAAAGAAAAUCCAAAUAUGUAUUCUAUCCACGAGUUCAAAAACGAUGCAAACAUGAUAAUUAUAAGUCAGAUUCAAGUUCAAAUUGACAGGGAAAGGUGUCAUGACAUGCAUCGAGUGGUUUCUAUAGAACAUGGUGCGGUUUUACUUCAAAGUCAUUCAAAUGCCUCAGAGAACUAAUAAUUCAUUUUAGUGAAUCAUCAUGCUUACAAGGCUAUUUCCUCAUUAUCCCCUAUGCAUAUGCAACAAUCCUAUAUGAAACACUCUAGACUCGAUUCUAAAUGUAAUGCAACUAAAUGAUCACUCUGUUUUUGUGGAAUUCAUUUUCAAAAAUUUUCAAAUUUUUUUGUUUUUUUCUAUGACUUAGAUGAUAUGCAGACUCAAAUGAUAUUCACAAAAAACAAGUCAAAUACGUCUUGAACCCUCCCCCAAACUUAAAUUACACAGUCCCUUGUGUAAUCAAAAUUUGUGAAAGAAUUCAAGAUAAACACAGAAACAAAAACAAAAGCGAUAUUUACAAAGGGUUUUGGUGUGUUACCUCAGUAGAAUGUCCUGGAGAUGUAGUCAUCCAUAUCUGCUUGAGUGUACUCAGCAGGCAUGACCGGUUCUUGAUGUGGCUCCGCCAUCUCCUCGUCAUUGUGCUCGAUCGCAACCCCAGCAGGUUGUUCAGCACGACGCUCACGUGUUCUCCGCCCCGACAUUAUCCGACCCUUGCUUGAUGAUCGAACCAUCCUAGCGCUCUUCCGCCUCUUGUGCUCCCUGACCUCAUGAGACGAGUGUCGUGCGGGUUCUUGCGGGACAGCGCGUUCUCUCUAUUGAUAAGCAGAUUGCCUUGGCGGGGCAAUGUCAUGACGCCUGGAUGGCAUGUCUUCUGGCGGGUUGUCCCUGGUGAUCGCACUGGUGGAUGUGGUGCAACUGAUUGCCUUCUGCAUGUUGUCAAUGGCCUUGACACACUUAUGGAUGAUCUUGUCUUGAAACUUGCACCACCUUUGGGUUAGACUGAGCUUCCGGUGUGCUUCAGCGAGACUCUUGCUUUCUCGUGAAGGGGGCUUGUGUUCUUCAAAGUGGUAGCGGCUCGUGUCAUAGUUCUCCCAAUUGGUCUCCUCAUUGUCACUCUGACCUUCUACUUCUUCAGCAUUCCGGGACGCGGAUCCUCCAAUCACAGCAUGGAGGAUUUCUUGUGGUGGCGAGAAGUCGAUGUUGUCUCUCACCGUGAUGGUUGUCAUUUCACUGAAUGGGAGAAGAAAAGUUGCUUCGCCUGUUGACGGGUGAUCAAACUUGAAAGCGUACCUCCCGUCAUAGACCUUAUGUUCGAUCACAUGGGCAAGCUUGAGAUGGGCGAUAUCCAUCCAACGUGGUUGGAUUGGAUCCGGUCGCAGCGGGACGUCGCACGAUAGGAGAAUUGGUGUGACCACUCCUCCAAUGCAAAGGGCUCCUUUCGCGUUCUUCUUGUCAUUGGCCAUUGCCCACCCUCUAUAGCUGCAUAAGUGAUUGAGAAGAUACAUUGACGGUGGUGUGUCAUUGGUAUCUCCCUUCAUCGUUUUCCCGUCCUUGGUGUAACGGAGGAAACUUAGCAGCGCCAGGUCUAACGUCUCCAUGUCUUGGUUCGUCACAGUGGCAGAUAUCUCCCUAGCGUAAGGGACAUUGGCCAUGGCUCUUUGGAAAUAGCGAAUGGCGGGAUUGCGGAUGGAGUUGCUCUUGGAUCUUGCGGAGUUGAAGCUGGUGGUGUCUCCGAUUGUGUUCCACAAAGAUUUCAAUUCCUCUCGGGCAAACUUCGGUUUCAUUCCCGUGCCACUGGGAAACCCAAACAUGGAUUCCAGCGUCUUGAUCGCCAUGAUAUAGUCGCGGUCGUCGAUGGUGAAGCUUAAGUAACCAAGCCCUUCUUCUCUUAACUCAACAGCUGACAACCCCUCAAACAAUUCCACUUGAAGUGAUGAAAGGAAUUGAAGUGUCUCAUCCUCAUAGGUAGGAUAGGGAUGAGACAUGAGUGUUGUCAUGUGGCAUUUCUCGAACAAGAGCUGAACGUCUUCCAAGAUGCCUAACUCCGCCAUUGUCUCCGGGUGAGGAUAUCUUGUUCCCCAAAACGGAUUUCUUUUGAGAGCCUUGUAGUAGUCUCCCGGGGUCAGCUUGUCUUCUUUCAUUAGGGACUUGGUGGUCUUGCGGGUUUGCUCUGGAAUGUACUCAGCAUCAUCUUCCAUCUCUUCAUCAAUUAGCUCAUAAUUUUCCGUCAUUGACCUCUUCCCUCUGGCUAUCUCUUCUCUUCUCCUGUCAUUGGCGACUGCUCGCUCUGUUUCCUCCACAAAUCGCCUAUACUCAUCUGCUUCUCUCUCUGGCCUAGUUGACCAAGAUUCAGCAUCAUCAACAUUGUAGUCGGCAUCCAUAGAUGAUUCGUAGCUGUGUGAACUCAUCUUGAAGCUGAAAUCGAUUUGAAACUCACAACUAAAGCUCAGUAAGUUAGUGAGAAACAAACAAAGACAAUGAAAGAAAUGACUUCCCAGAGUUGUGAUCGAGUAGAAUUUGAUAGUGACAGCUCAGGUCGCGAUCGAGUGAAGCAAGCAAAUGAGAGACAGGGUUGCGAUAGAGUAGUUUCUGAGGUUCUGUUUUAGUCAAUAACAGCUAGCAACAACGAAAGAAUUGAGAGCGUUUUUGGUAGUGAAGUAGAGAGAUAAACAAGAGAGAUGUUUUGAAAUCACAAGUGAUGAAGAAAAGUGAAGAGUAGUGACACUUAUCUCCCUUUGCGAUUUGAAUGAGUGGAGGAGGUGUGUUGCUUUUAAACGGACGGAUGGGAUGCAAUGCCCGUUAUGAUGUCGGCAACGUGAUAAGGUGACAAAACAUGGUGCUUUAUGUCGGCAGGAUGGGCUUCCUUCAAGUCACGCGCCUUGUGAUCGAGUAUGGGUUGUUGAUCCUUUAAUUUCGUGUCAUGGGCUACAAUUGGACACAGCAUGGGCUUUUUGGAGUUUUGGUGGAGAUUGAAAUCCAGUAGGCUUAAUGGGACUGAGGUUUGUCAUUGACGUUCUGUGGACACUUUCACUCCUCCUUGCGAUCUAGUAGAAAAUUGUUAUCCCGAAUUUACUAUAUCGCACUCCUGAGCUUUCACUCCUAUGUUGUGAUCGAGUAUUUGAAAAAAAAAUUUGGAAAAUUUUCAUUUUAACACUCGAUCACAUCCUUGUUGAUCACUCCAGCUGUUAUUCAUUUCCUGAGAAUCAAAGACAUAACCAAAACGAAUCAAAAGUAACAAAUAAAUAAAAAGUAUAUACAGGGAUAGUCAUGGGACUUCCUCCCAAGUGAGCUUGUUUAGAGUCUCUAGCUUGACUCCUCACACUAAUCAAGUGGAGAAAAUGUGACAGAGGGAACUUGAGAAGUCCUCCUCUUUACUGAUAUCAUCAUCAUAGUAGGCUGCUUCCUCCUCUGGAGGGUAGUCUUUCUCUUCUGACCAAUCCCAGGUGAUCUCCUUUCUUGAAAUCGUGUCAUGGUUGAGCUGGGGCUGAACCUCCUUUUGCAUUCGACUUAGUUUGUCUCUAAGCUUUUCAACAGUGUAGCUCAGCUUCUGAAUGGUUCUGUUCUGUAGAUCAGUCUUCCUUUUGAGUUCCAGCCAAUCAAGUGAGGAGGGUAUACUCGAUCGAGUAGUCGAGUUCGAUGGCGGAGUUUGAACCGAAAUUUGCUCCUUCCCUCUUUUGAUCUCAAGGCCUUCACUUGGAACCGCUCUCUGGACCUCUAAGGUUUUUCCUUCUGUUGGUGACCUUGUCUGAAAUUUGUUGAUGUCAAACUGUAACUUGACAUGCCUCCCAAGGUUGAGAUCAAUCUUGCCAUAUCUGACAUCUAUUACUGCUCCCACUGAGGCUAAGAAAGGUCUUCCUAAGAUCAAAGGAUCCUUAGACUCUUCAUCCAUUUCAAGCACGACAAAAUCAGUGGGUACCUCAACUCCAUCUAUCAUUACUGGCACGUUCUCUAGAAUGCUGAAAGGUCUCCUUGAAGUUCUAUCAGCAAGGAUCAAGGUGAUGUCACAGGGCUUGUACUGAACGAAUCCCAGCUUCUUUGCCACAGAGAGUGGCAUUAAACUGACUGAGGCUCCUAGAUCACAUAGACAAUUGUUGAAAGUCAAUUGCCUAAUGGAACAUGGCAGAGUGAAAGAUCCAAGAUCUUCCAGCUUCUCUUGAAUAAUCCUCUUACCAGCGGUUUGAUGCAUAAUGACAUCGUCUUCGUCAUCUGAAUCCUGACAUAUGUUGAGCCUUUCUAGUAUCAGGUUUCUCACAUCUUUGUGAGGGUCUGAAAUCAACUUUAGGACUUCUACUAAGGGCAUCACAGCUUCCAUCUCAUCAAGUUGUUUUUCUGUCAGAGAUUCAUAUCUGCUUUUCCAAGCUUUCCUGAACGUCCAUGGAAGAGCAAGUGAGGGUGAUGGAGCUGGCUUGAAUCGUUUUACCAUCCUCUCGAUUAUAGCAGCCUUCUCCUCCAAGUCAGACUGAGCCUGAUUGAAAGGUUGAGCUGAAUAGUCGAUCUCAGCAACAGAGACUUCAAUCUGAGUGGAAGCCUCCCCUUCUUGAAUUACGCUGUCCUCAGUGUUUGAUGUAGAGACAUGUUGAGUUGGCAGCUCUCGCUCAUGUCUGAUAGUGAUUGCGUGUGCAGUGGCGUACUCCUUAGGGUUUUGGAUUGCUUUUCCUGGAAGCUGGCCUGGGUUGUUUGUAACAGGUGGUGAAGUAGUGACGCCGUCCAGAUACCGUACCCUUGUGUUCAAUGAUUCCAACCUGCUACUCAGUUCAUUGAACUGUCUGUCAACUUUGUUGUUUAAGUCAGCUAUCUUCUUAGCAGAUUCCAUUACCCCUGCGGCUUGACCUUGCAUGAUCUGUUGGAGCAUAUUCUUGAUGUCUGAUUCCUGGGGUGCAGAGGCCUGAUGUUGUUGUGGUGUGAAACCAGGUGGUGGUUGUUGCUGUUGAUACCCUCCUUGGAACUGUUGCUUAGGACCGAACCCUUGGCUUUGGUUGUAAGUAACAAACGGUUUGGGUUGGUUCUGCUGCAGCUGCUGUUGAGGGUAAACUUGGUCCUGAGGAUUGGCGACAUUUGUGCUUCUGUAUGACAGAUUUGGGUUGGGUCUGUAAUUGUUGUACCCUUUGUUGUAGCCGCCUUGGUUCUGAACAUAACUGAUUUCAGCGCCCUGAUCAUUCUCCCCCUCUUGGAUUUGGAAUACUUCGUCUUCAGAGGCGAAGUGAACAUGCUUCUGCUGCACUUGGAGGAGUUUAUCGAUUUUGUCAUGGAGAGCUUUAAUCUCUCGGCGGUGCUUGUCAUCAGAUUCAGUACUGGUGCGGAUGCUUCUGUCAUAAUCCUCGUUGUAAUUACCAUCCGACUGAGCCAAGUUUUCAACUAUCUCCCAUCCGUCUUCGACAUCCUUGUUCAGGAAAUUCCCGUUGGAGGCGGUGUCAAGGAGCAUACGUAUCUUAGGCAGGACGCCUCUGUAAAGUGUGCUGAGAAGAGAUGCUUCCUUAAAUCCGUGAUGAGGGCAUUUGGUUUGAUAACCCUUAAAGCGCUCCCAAGCUUCACAGAAGCUUUCAUUUUGCUUCUGAGUGAAUCCGGAUAUCUCGUUCCGGAGUCUUGCAGUCCUGGAGUUGGAGAAGAAUUUUGCCAAGAAGGCCUUUUUGCAGUCAUCCCAGGUCGUGAUUGAUCCCUGGGGUAGCGUUUUUUCCCACAGAUGGGCUUUAUCUCCAAGUGAAAAUGGGAACAAGCAAAGC
rnacentral:sRNA from 1 species